UAGGGAAUCUUGCGCAAUGGGCGAAAGCCUGACGCAGCCAUGCCGCGUGAAUGAUGAAGGUCUUAGGAUUGUAAAAUUCUUUCACCGGGGAAGAUAAUGACGGUACCCGGAGAAGAAGCCCCGGCUAACUUCGUGCCAGCAGCCGCGGUAAUACGAAGGGGGCUAGCGUUGCUCGGAAUUACUGGGCGUAAAGGGUGUGUAGGCGGAUACUUAAGUCGGGGGUGAAAGCCCAGGGCUCAACCCUGGAAUAGCCUUCGAUACUGGGUAUCUUGAGUUCGGGAGAGGUAAGUGGAACUCCGAGUGUAGAGGUGAAAUUCGUAGAUAUUCGGAAGAACACCAGUGGCGAAGGCGACUUACUGGCCCGAUACUGACGCUGAAACACGAAAGCGUGGGGAGCAAACAG
rnacentral:rRNA from 1 species